rnacentral:lncRNA from 1 species
AUGGCAGCCCAGGGCUAUGGCUAUUAUCGCACUGUGAUCUUCUCAGCCAUGUUUGGGGGCUACAGCCUGUAUUACUUCAAUCGCAAGACCUUCUCCUUUGUCAUGCCAUCAUUGGUGGAAGAGAUCCCUUUGGACAAGGAUGAUUUGGGGUUCAUCACCAGCAGCCAGUCGGCAGCUUAUGCUAUCAGCAAGUUUGUCAGUGGGGUGCUGUCUGACCAGAUGAGUGCUCGCUGGCUCUUCUCUUCUGGGCUGCUCCUGGUUGGCCUGGUCAACAUAUUCUUUGCCUGGAGCUCCACAGUACCUGUCUUUGCUGCCCUCUGGUUCCUUAAUGGCCUGGCCCAGGGGCUGGGCUGGCCCCCAUGUGGGAAGGUCCUGCGGAAGUGGUUUGAGCCAUCUCAGUUUGGCACUUGGUGGGCCAUCCUGUCAACCAGCAUGAACCUGGCUGGAGGGCUGGGCCCUAUCCUGGCAACCAUCCUUGCCCAGAGCUACAGCUGGCGCAGCACGCUGGCCCUAUCUGGGGCACUGUGGUGUGGUUGUCUCCUUCCUCUGUCUCCUGCUCAUCCACAAUGAACCUGCUGAUGUUGGACUCCGCAACCUGGACCCCAUGCCCUCUGAGGGCAAGAAGGGCUCCUUGAAGGAGGAGAGCACCCUGCAGGAGCUGCUGCUGUCCCCUUACCUGUGGGUGCUCUCCACUGGUUACCUUGUGGUGUUUGGAGUAAAGACCUGCUGUACUGACUGGGGCCAGUUCUUCCUUAUCCAGGAGAAAGGACAGUCAGCCCUUGUAGGUAGCUCCUACAUGAGUGCCCUGGAAGUUGGGGGCCUUGUAGGCAGCAUCGCAGCUGGCUACCUGUCAGACCGGGCCAUGGCAAAGGUGAGCGGGCAGAAGGGACAGGAAGGAGAAGGGUCCCUUUCAGUCUUCACGGCGUGGCUGGGACAGGCACUGGAGAGAUGGGAGUCCCAGGGCACAGGCGGGACUGUCCAACUACGGGAACCCUCGCCAUGGCCUGUUGCUGUUCAUGAUGGCUGGCAUGACAGUGUCCAUGUACCUCUUCCGGGUAACAGUGACCAGUGACUCCCCCAAGCUCUGGAUCCUGGUAUUGGGAGCUGUAUUUGGUUUCUCCUCGUAUGGCCCCAUUGCCCUGUUUGGAGUCAUAGCCAACGAGAGUGCCCCUCCCAACUUGUGUGGCACCUCCCACGCCAUUGUGGGACUCAUGGCCAAUGUGGGCGGCUUUCUGGCUGGGCUGCCCUUCAGCACCAUUGCCAAGCACUACAGUUGGAGCACAGCCUUCUGGGUGGCUGAAGUGAUUUGUGCGGCCAGCACGGCUGCCUUCUUCCUCCUACGAAACAUCCGCACCAAGAUGGGCCGAGUGUCCAAGAAGGCUGAGUGA